UACAGAGGGGGCAAGCGUUGUUCGGAAUUACUGGGCGUAAAGGGCGCGUAGGCGGCCCGCUAAGUCGAACGUGAAAUCCCCGGGCUCAACCCGGGAACUGCGUCCGAUACUGGCAGGCUUGAAUCCGGGAGAGGGAUGCGGAAUUCCAGGUGUAGCGGUGAAACGCGUAGAUAUCUGGAGGAACACCGGUGGCGAAGGCGGCAUCCUGGACCGGUAUUGACGCUGAUGCGCGAAAGCCAGGGGAGCAAACGGG
rnacentral:rRNA from 1 species